AAGAGAGUUGCUUCAGAACAACACAGGAACACUGGCGGCUUACAGCUGACACAGCAACUCUGAGCCCGUGGCAAUCAAGGCCAAGUGACUGGGGAAGUGGCUGCACUCUCACAAGUUAGGGGACGCACCUGAAAACUGUUUCUAUUGAAAACUCUCUAAGGGUGUUAUUCAAGACUGACCUAGACUACACAGUAGGGUCUCAAUCCAACCAUACAGUAUAGGCUGGAGAGAAACUCAGCAGUUAAGAGCCCUGGCUGCUCUUACAGAGGAGAGCAGUUUCCAGCACCCACAUGGCAGCUCAUCAUCUGCAACUCUAGUUCCAGGGCAUCUGACACACUCUUCUGGCCUACUCAGGCACUGGGCACACACAUAUGCAGGCAAGCACUCAUACACGCCAGUGUUUACAUCUUAAAGGCAAACAAGCAAGCAAGCAAGCAAGCAAGCAAACAAACAAAACACAAAGGGCCAGGAACACAGCUCAAACAGAGCACUUGCCUAACAUGUGCAAGACCCUGGGUUCAAUCUCCAGCACUGCAAACAAAAACAAACAAAAAAAUCAUUUUUUAAAAAACAAAGUAUUUUUUAAGGUUAGGUAAGCUGUUACAGAUUUAAAGGAGGCAAAAGAUAAACAUUCAGCUUCAUAAAGAGAUUCAAUAUGUAGCAUUAAAUAGAUCCUCAUUCCAAGGAUUCAACAAUAUUGGCCAUUUCUCAGUGAUGCGUUCACUAGGGACAAUGGCCGCUAGCCCACGCCUACACCCACAGAACUAUUGGGAGGUCGGAUACAGAUGCAGGUGUUUCUUACAGGGGAAAAUUCUCUACAACAUGACUCAUCUCCUGGGAAGCUACUGAAGGAAAUACUUCACAGGCAGAGUGGAAACUGAGAAAGGCAGCAACUGAACAGGACAGAAGGCAAAAGCCCACGUCCUGCAGAAGAGAGCUCAGCACAGGAGCCAGACUAUGGCAGGAGCGGGUCUCCUGAACAAGCACCAAGAAAGCACAGUGCUAGACUAGCCCAUGGGCCAGAAACACACACCUAGAGAUCGUGAGAGUCCUAUGAACACUCCUGAGAGGUUCGAGAUAGGCUGUUCAAAGGAGCAACAGAAUCCUUAUCGCUGAAUGUGACAAAUCAACAAGAACAAAACAACAACAUACCUCCCACCACAACACACUGACAGCAGUCAGCAACAGGAGUCUAGUGGGGUCACGACAGACAGGCAUUCUAACGUGGUGGUAGCAAACACACUGAUCUCCUUCCUUCCCUAGACAGUGUCUUGUAGCCUAGGAAGACCUCACAUUUGCUAUAUGGCAGAUUACCCUCCAUUCCAAUCCUCCUGCCUCUAUCCCCAUAAAGAGCCACCGUGCAGGCUGAAUACAGUAUGGGGAUUGUGUGUGCUGGGUAAGCACUCACUGUACCAACUGAGUCAGUCACACCCCCAGUCCCCUGUUUCAAUUGUAAAAAGCUUUCUACACGUAUAGGGAUUGUUAGAUUCUGUGCAUAUAUACCUUGAAGAGGAAGAGAAGACUCCUGCAAUUCCACAGUCAAUCAACACUGCAGUGCUAUUUCCUUUCAAGUAGUUGGUCAUACAAUAAGCUUUUUUCUGUUUAAGCAAGCCUGGAAUCUCAUUUCAGAGAUAUAUUUCUGGAUUUAAAACAUAUGUUUUAUUUUCAUUUCUUGUUAAAUACCUUUCAUAAACAAGUAUCAAUGCCAGAUAAGCACUGUGAUAGCCAGCUUAAUGGAACUGUUACCUGCUCUAAGAUGCAUCUGUAUUUGUGUUUGCCUAAUUACUUGCUGCAGUGUAUCUCUCUUUGUCUUUUAAAAACAUGCUCUGGCAGGGCAUGGUGGUACAGCCUUUAAUUCCAGCAGAGCCUUUAACUCUGGAGAGGUGGAGUUAGGAAGAUCUCUGUGAGUUUGAGUCUAGGCUAGCCUACACAGUGAGCUCCAGGCUAGCCAGGGCUACAGUAAUCACUAAUCAGUUACUUUUUCCUGAGGCUUUCAGAUCAUCAGUGCACCCGAGGCAUUCAGUGGGACAGGGGCAGGAGGACUAAGUGCCAGGCCUGCUCAAAGUCUGAUCAAGAUCCUCCCACAAUAUUGACAGUUCCAAGGACGAGAUCACCAUUCCCAACAAUGUCACCAAUCACCAAGAGUUAAGCCUUCACUAGUUCAGUUCCCAUUAAGUCUACGAGCAUGAAAAGCCUACUCUGAAUGCAUCUGUCUGCAGACCACAUUUGUUCAAAAUAAAUGGAUCUCCAUUUAGAUCAUGGAAGAGGAUAUAUCACCAAAGCCACCACAAGUCCCAAGGUUCUCAGACUCCUGUGACACAUUUACAACUGCAUUAAGAAAGGGGGCUGGAGAGAUGGCUCAGGGGAAAAGAGCACUCACUGUUCUUCGGUCAGCCCUGGCACCCACAUGGCAACUCACAGUCACCUCUAACUCCAGUUCCAGGGGAUCUGGUGCCUUCUUCUGACCUCUGCCAGCCCAAAACUCACAACGUUAUACAGGCAAACACUCAUACACAUACAAAAAAAAAAAACCCCACAGUAUUGUGAACGUGCCCAAGAAGCCCUGCAGACGGCUUCCUCUAAGCUCGAUCAUAUCAAGAAAGCAGCAGAACUAUAGGGAAGUCCCCUCCUCCCUGGGCCCUGUGAAAGGGAGACAGCUUUUCAAGGACCCAUCAAAGAAGAGUGCACGGCUCUGAUUUACAUCAGGCGCCAACACACCAAAUGAUGGGACACCAAAGCCUUCCAAGUUAUUCCUGCGUUAGCCAAAUUCGGAGAAGCAUCUUUAUUCCAAGUCUCUUGACAACACCAACACAGAUAACCUGGCACUACAAAGCCACAAGACAGCUAAGAGGCCUGGUCGAGGCUGCACCCUGGCCACUGUUCCUGUUACUGCUUACCUCAGCUUUCACAGUCAAGGAUCCAGCUGAAACGUACUUCAAUUUAACCCAGAGCUAUACAAGCUAAAAGUGAAAUGCUCAGAGAAAAUAAAAAUAGAUCUUCAAACAAAGUCUGUAAAAAUAAAAUUACUAAGUGCCU
rnacentral:lncRNA from 1 species